AUUCCAGCUCCAAUAGCGUAUAUUAAAGUUGUUGUGGUUAAAAAGCUCGUAGUUGGAUCUCAACAGCCUUGAAGCGGUUAACUUUGUAGUUUUACUGCUUUGUAGGCUGUGCUUUUGCUGGAGGUUUAGGGGUGCUCUUGAUCGAGUGUCUCUGGAUGCCAGCAGGUUUACUUUGAAAAAAUUAGAGUGCUCAAAGCAGGCUAAAAUGCCUGAAUAUUCGUGCAUGGAAUAAUAGAAUAGGAUGUCGAUCCUAUUUUGUUGGUUUUCGGGACUCGACAUAAUGAUAAAUAGGGACAGUCGGGGGCAUUUGUAUUCAAACGACAGAGGUGAAAUUCUUGGACCGUUUGAAGACAAACUACUGCGAAAGCAUUUGCCAAGAAUGUUUUCAUUAAUCAAGAACGAAAGUUAGAGGUUCGAAGGCGAUCAGAUACCGCCCUAGUUCUAACCAUAAACGAUGCCAGCUAGCGAUCCGCAGCUGUUUGUUUUUUAGGCUCUGCGGGAAGCUUCCGGGAAACCAAAGCCUUUGGGUUCCGGGGGAAGUAUGGUUGCAAAGCUGAAACUUAAAGGAAUUGACGGAAGGGCACCACCAGGAGUGGAGCCUGCGGCUUAAUUUGACUCAACACGGGAAAUCUCACCAGGCCCGGACACUGGAAGGAUUGACAGAUUGAGAGCUC
rnacentral:rRNA from 1 species